UUGCUUUGGCAGCAAAUAUAUAAAAAUUGGAAGAAUGCAGAGAUUAGCAUGGCCCCUCGAGAAGGAUGACACAAAAAUUCAUGAGCACUGCAUUAAUUAA
ensembl:snRNA RNU6-285P RNA, U6 small nuclear 285, pseudogene